rnacentral:rRNA from 1 species
UGGGGAAUUUUGGACAAUGGGCGAAAGCCUGAUCCAGCAAUGCCGCGUGUGUGAAGAAGGCCUUCGGGUUGUAAAGCACUUUUGUCCGGAAAGAAAUCCUUGGCUCUAAUACAGUCGGGGGAUGACGGUACCGGAAGAAUAAGCACCGGCUAACUACGUGCCAGCAGCCGCGGUAAUACGUAGGGUGCAAGCGUUAAUCGGAAUUACUGGGCGUAAAGCGUGCGCAGGCGGUUUGCUAAGACCGAUGUGAAAUCCCCGGGCUAACCUGGGAACUGCAUUGGUGACUGGCAGGCUAGAAGUAUGGCAGAGGGGGGUAGAAUUCCACGUGUAGCAGUGAAAUGCGUAGAGAUGUGGAGGAAUACCGAUGGCGAAGGCAGCCACCUGGGCCAAUCUGACGCUCAUGCACGAAAGCGUGGGGAGCAAAC